rnacentral:rRNA from 1 species
UACGGAGGGGGCUAGCGUUGUUCGGAAUUACUGGGCGUAAAGCGCACGUAGGCGGUUUUGUAAGUUAGAGGUGAAAGCCCAGGGCUUAACCCUGGAAUUGCCUUUAAGACUGCAUCGCUAGAAUCGUGGAGAGGUAAGUGGAAUUCCGAGUGUAGAGGUGAAAUUCGUAGAUAUUCGCAAGAACACCAGUGGCGAAGGCGGCUCACUGGUCCGGUACUGACGCUGAGGUGCGAAAGCGUGGGGAGCAAACAGG